GACGAACGCUGGCGGCGUGCUUAACACAUGCAAGUCGAGCGGUAAGGCCCUUUCGGGGGUACACGAGCGGUGAACGGGUGAGUAACACGUGGGUGACCUGCCCUCAGCUCUGGGAUAAGCCUGGGAAACCGGGUCUAAUACUGGAUAUGACUCCAUGACGCAUGUUGUGGGGUGGAAAGCCUUGUGCGGCUGAGGAUGGGCCCGCGGCCUAUCAGCUUGUUGGUGGGGUGANGGCCUACCAAGGCGACGACGGGUAGCCGGCCUGAGAGGGCGACCGGCCACACUGGGACUGAGACACGGCCCAGACUCCUACGGGAGGCAGCAGUGGGGAAUCUUGCGCAAUGGGCGAAAGCCUGACGCAGCGACGCCGCGUGAGGGAUGACGGCCCUCGGGUUGUAAACCUCUUUCAGCUCCGACGAAGCGAGAGUGACGGUAGGAGCAGAAGAAGCACCGGCCAACUACGUGCCAGCCGCCGCGGUAAU
rnacentral:rRNA from 1 species